UGGGGAAUAUUGCACAAUGGGCGCAAGCCUGAUGCAGCCAUGCCGCGUGUAUGAAGAAGGCCUUCGGGUUGUAAAGUACUUUCAGCGGGGAGGAAGGGAGUAAAGGUAAUACCUUUGCUCAUUGACGUUACCCGCAGAAGAAGCACCGGCUAACUCCGUGCCAGCAGCCGCGGUAAUACGGAGGGUGCAAGCGUUAAUCGGAAUUACUGGGCGUAAAGCGCACGCAGGCGGUUUGUUAAGUCAGAUGUGAAAUCCCCGGGCUCAACCUCGGAACUGCAUCUGAUACUGGCCAGCUUGAGUCUCGUAGAGGGGGGUAGAAUUCCCGGUGUAGCGGUGAAAUGCGUAGAGAUCUGGAGGAAUACCAGUGGCGAAGGCGGCCCCCUGGACGGAGACUGACGCUCAGGUGCGAAAGCGUGGGGAGCAAACAGG
rnacentral:rRNA from 1 species